GCAGUCGAACGAUGAAGUUCCUUCGGGAAUGGAUUAGUGGCGAACGGGUGAGGAACACGUGAGAAACCUGCCUUUCAUUCUGGGAUAACACCGGGAAACCGGUGCUAAUACCGGAUACUCCAUCUUGGCGGCAUCGCCGAGCUGGGAAAAAAUUUUGAUGAAAGAUGGUCUCGCGGCCUAUCAGCUAGUUGGUGAGGUAAAGGCUCACCAAGGCGACGACGGGUAGCCGGCCUGAGAGGGCGACCGGCCACACUGGGACUGAGACACGGCCCAGACUCCUACGGGAGGCAGCAGUAGGGAAUAUUGGGCAAUGGGCGAAAGCCUGACCCAGCGACGCCGCGUGAGGGAUGAAGGUCUUCGGAUUGUAAACCUCUUUCAGUAGGGAAGAAGCGAAAGUGACGGUACCUAAAGAAGAAGCACCGGCUAACUAUGUGCCAGCAGCCGCGGUAAUACAUAGGGUGCAAGCGCUGUCCGGAAUUAUUGGGCGUAAAGAGCUCGUAGGUCGUUUGUCGCGUCGAUUGUGAAAAUCUGAGGCUCAACCUCAGACCUGCAGUCGAUACGGGCAAACUAGAGUGUGGUAGGGGAGACUGGAAUUCCUGGUGUAGCGGUGGAAUGCGCAGAUAUCAGGAGGAACACCAAUGGCGAAGGCAGGUCUCUGGGCCAUAACUGACACUGAGGAGCGAAAGUGCGGGGAGCGAACAGGAUUAGAUACCCUGGUAGUCCGCACCGUACACGGUGGGCACUAGUUGUGGGAACCUUCCACGGUUUCCGCGACGCAGCAAACGCAUUAAGUGCCCCGCCUGCGGAGUACGAUCGCAAGAUUAAAACUCAGAGGAAUUGACGGGGCCCCGCACAAGCAGCGGAGCAUGCGGCUUAAUUCGACGCAACGCGAAGAACCU
rnacentral:rRNA from 1 species